rnacentral:rRNA from 1 species
AGGACGAACGCUGGCGGCGUGCUUAACACAUGCAAGUCGAGCGGUAAGGCCUUUCGGGGUACACGAGCGGCGAACGGGUGAGUAACACGUGGGUGAUCUGCCCUGCACUCUGGGAUAAGCCUGGGAAACUGGGUCUAAUACCGGAUAUGACCUGCUCUCGCAGUGGGGGCGGGUGGAAAGAUUUAUCGGGUGCAGGAUGGGGCCCGCGGCCUAUCAGUCUUGGUUGGUGGGUAAUCGGCCUACCAAGGCGACGACGGGUAGCCGACCUGGAGAGGGUCGACCGGCCACGACGUGGGACUGAGACCGACCGGCCCAGACCGUCCGUACGGGAGGCAGCGAGGUGGGAAUAUUG